rnacentral:rRNA from 1 species
UACGUAGGGUGCGAGCGUUAAUCGGAAUUACUGGGCGUAAAGCGUGCGCAGGCGGCGGCUCAAGUCAGGUGUGAAAUCCCCGGGCUUAACCUGGGAAUUGCGCUUGAAACUAGGUUGCUAGAGUGUGGCAGAGGGGGGUGGAAUUCCACGUGUAGCAGUGAAAUGCGUAGAUAUCAGGAGGAACACCGAUGGCGAAGGCAGGUCUCUGGGCUGAUACUGACGCUCAUGCACGAAAGCGUGGGGAGCAAACAGG